rnacentral:sRNA from 1 species
UUUAAGGUCCUGGAGGCUGAAGGCUUGUAUUUAUUCCCAGAGCAGGUAACGCACACUCAAUGGGAGUGCAAGCUUCCCCAUGCUGUCACACAAAUAUACCUAAACCAUGUCCUACAGCAGCAAUCAACUUGGAUUUCUGAGCAAGGAAACUGCCUGCUGCUUUUUGUUUCUAUUGUGUUCAAGGAAACA